CAAAUACACAGUGAAGCUGUGCAGGGAGAAAAUUACAAAGGCCAAAGCCCAGGUAGAACUGAACUUGGCCACUAAGAUGAAAAGCAACAAUAAAUAUUUCUAUUGUUGCUGCGGCGACCAGACUCAGGGCAGAGAGAAGAGAGUGAAGAGUUGGACCAGGAGGAUGGAAAGGAGAGGAAUGGAGUGGUGAAUGUUAAGUGGGGUUUCUGGAGCCAAAUGAAUGAUGGCAGGAGUUCACUAUUGUGGCAACAUCAAACAGUGACAAAUUAGAGAGCACUGAAUUCAAGAUUUUCUGCGCUGCCUUCACUUAUUCCCCCUAUGCUCUACUGCAUUCUGAUAACAGACUGGUAAUUUCAGCACCCAGCAAUAGCAGAUGGAAUCUAUUCAUCAUCCCAAUGACCCGGCACAUCAUAACCCACUCAUCAUCCAAUGACCCAGCACAUCGGCUGGAGGAACAGCACAGUGAGUUCCAGAGGUAAUGGCAAGCCAAAUAAUUAGAAGCCUGGCUCCCAGGGAUGAUUUGAGGAUUAAUGGCUGUUUGUAGAGUGCUUGGAGUUCCCCAGCUGCAGCGUGCGUUUAGCUCUGGGGCACAGCAGGCUGCAGGUGCUGGGCAGUGGGAGUGCAGCCCCAGUACUGUGGCUGGCCCGGUGCAGGUCUGUGUACCAGUCUGCAGUACCUCGGCGCUGCUGAGCUAUCAGGAGUAAACGAAGAAAACAGCUUGAGUGGCCUCCUGAUGCCAGCCAGAGCUUCCUUGUUCUUUUCCCCUUGGAAGCCCAUGGGUGACCUCCACAGACUGCAUUGAGCCACAUCUCAAGUGUGCCGGAGCUAACAUGCCACAGAAGGCUGUGACUCGUCGGGGCUGGGACCAUUCACUGUCACUAUCACAAGUGGAGAAACUUUUCUGUCAGGUGCCUGCGCAGUGUCUGAGACCCAGCCUGGCUUUUACAGCCCUAGAAGGAAGUGCUGAGUGCAUUGCUUUCUAAUCUUGCCCAGGGAGGUUUUCAGAGGAGAGGCUGUGCUGUAGGAAUCAGUGUAGGAUACAGAUGGAUCCAGCCAGCUUGCACUUGUUUGAGUCCACGAGGAGCAGUCGUGGGCCAGGCACUCGGGGAAAGUUCCCUUUGUCCCAUGGGAGAAGCACGUGGGCUUGGAAAGAUCCUUGAACCUGCGGAGGGGAGGAAUUUCUCCUUGGGCCUCAGAUGUCCCCCAGGGUGGUGCGGGGAGGAGCCCGAUGCUCCCAGCAUUGUCCGAGGCAGCAGCUGGUGGUGCUGUGUGACAAGGUUCUGCUGGCGCUGAGGUGCAGUGCUCAAGUGUGCUAGCAGGGGCAAUGACCCCUGGGGGAGUGGAACAGGUCAGGUUAUGGCUGCGGAGUCUGUCUUCUGUACAGAGGCAGUGAGCCCAUCCCAAGCUCCUUACCGCUCAUCCCAUCCUCUGGGGGAUGGAGAACUGCUUUUUUCCUUCCCCCUGUAGCGCCAGGAGAGCAAUCAGAACCUCUGAGCUAUGGAACAUCCUCCUUUCCCUCCUCCUCCUCUAGGAGGCCUGUUUUAACCUUUUGUCCCAUGCAGCAGCAAUGUCCAUAUGGCCCUUCACCUGCUAGGGCAAUGUUCCUUGUGGUCUCUCAGCCCAUGUGCUGAAUGCCACUCCUAUCCCAUUCCACCCUCCCUUUGGGUUUUGAGAUGCGAUUGAUCCGUUCUGCAAGUUCACACUGUGCUAACUCAGCACUCCCUGCAGUAUGUCCAACACUGUCCUGCUAAAAAAAAAGAAGUCACUUCUGGUAUUCAAGGGUCCUCAACCAAUGUCAUUUUUGUCCAUUGGGUUGGGAGAAAUUUACUGGGGGACAAUCGUGUCAUCUGAUCUUUGGCAAAAUGCUUCUCUUUGAAACCUUGACUCUUGGUUACGGGUAAUGCAGAUGAGAGUGCUGUGUCCAAUCUCCUCCAAGGAGAGCAGCGUGCUGAAGGGGAAUUAAAGGGCCAUGGGAAUUCUCAGCAUAAUUUUAUUAUGGUGACCUUUAAGGAGACGGUGGGGGGAUGGGUGAAGAACACAGAGAAGACACUGAGAACAGACCACACAGACAGCGCUUAAGGGGGGGAAAGCAAACCCAAAGCAAGUUAGGAAGGGAGACAGGAGAGGAGAGAGAUGGAGCAGAGACUGAAUGAGGCUGGCAAGGAAUGGCGGAGCCACCUCCUUCCAGUUUAUCCAGGGAGUGACAGGAGUAGAUUUGGGGCUCUCCAUCCAUGAAAAACACCCUUCUGUGCAUCGUUCUCCAUUUUCCUGAAAUCUCUGCUUUUCUUCCUCCAGGCAACCAUUAAUCUAAUAUUAAGCCCCUUAACCUCUCUAAUUGUUCCCUUUCAGUGUCAGCUGGUUUCCUAUUAACCUUUCAAUCUCUCCGUAAUGCAGUUACUUCUGAUUCCAG
ensembl:lncRNA